rnacentral:rRNA from 1 species
GGACCAUGUACAAGUCUCCUGGAAUGGAGCGUCGUAGAGGGUGAGAAUCCCGUCUUUGACAUGGACUGCCAGGGCUUUUGUGAUGCGCUCUCAAAGAGUCGAGUUGUUUGGGAAUGCAGCUCAAAAUGGGUGGUAAAUUCCAUCUAAAGCUAAAUAUUGGCGAGAGACCGAUAGCGAACAAGUACCGUGAGGGAAAGAUGAAAAGAACUUUGGAAAGAGAGUUAAACAGUACGUGAAAUUGCUGAAAGGGAAACGCUUGAAGUCAGUCAUGUUGACCAGGGAUCAACCCUGCUUUUGCUUGGUGCACUUCCUGGUUUGAUGGGUCAGCAUCAAUUUUGACCAUUGGAAAAAGAUCAAGGGAAUGUGGCAUCUCUGGAUGUGUUUAUAGCCCUUGGUCACAUACAAUGGUUGGGAUUGAGGAACUCAGCACGCCCUUGUGGAGUGCUUAGGAUGCUGAUAUAAUGGCUUUAAUCGACCCGUCUUGAAACACGGACCAAGGAGUCUAACAUGCCUGCGAGUGUUUGGGUGGAAAACCCGAGCGCGUAAUGAAAGUGAAAGGUUGAGAUCCCUGUCGUGGGGAGCAUCGACGCCCGGACCAGACCUUUUGUGACGGUUCCGCGGUAGAGCAUGUAUGUUGGGACCCGAAAGAUGGUGAACUAUGCCUGAAUAGGGUGAAUCCAGAGGAAACUCUGGUGGAGGCUCGUAGCGAUUCUGACGUGCAAAUCGAUCGUCAAAUUUGGGUAUAGGGGCGAAAGACUAAUCGA